CGUAAAUUGUGUACAGGGCUGCACAACCAUAACAUAGUAGACAUAUAAAUAUCAACUUUGUCUUGGCGUUUGAACUUUUAUCUUUCUCAAUGUUUUCAAGCUUUAUAACUCAUUUCUUUCAUGUAGCCAACCUGAAAAGUCAAUGAAAUUGAUUUUAGGAGAAGAAUUGAAGUCAAUUUGAAGAGAGGAGAGGAGAAGAAGCUGAUUUCAGGUCCCACUGUAAAUAAAGAGAGUAGAGAGGUUAAUGAAGAAUUGGUGUAAUUUUUUUUGGCAAAUUUGAUUCAGAGGUAAGGAAGAACAAUUUGGAUGCGUCAGGACAAUCUCGGAACUAUCUUGUUGGAAGGAAAACAUGUCGCCCGAACUGCAUUGGUGUGGUUUUUAUGUUGGCUCGUCCCAUGAACCAGAGGUCACAUACGAGGAUGGUGUUGAAGUAAACAAACCAUUAUAUAAUUCAUGUUCAAGGAAACACAUAGUUUUUUAAAGAAACAAGCAGUGUGCAAUCUCAAGAACAGAGUAUAUGAGAUAAAACGAACAGAGCAAAAACAGAGGAUCUGAUGAAUCAGUAAUCAUCUCCCUAGGAAACAACUUCUUUGCAAGUAGGUUCGAAUAAAACGGUGCGUUCAAACUGUGAUACGUAGCUUCAAAUCACGUUUAAAAAAUAAUUAUUAUUUUGGAAACACACAAAAAUCAUGCAUCAUCAAACACAACCAAUAUAAACUUCGGUCUUGCACCAUAAAGACUUAACUAAAAGAUUAACAAGAGGACUUGGAUAGAAGUAAGAAAUGACUCGGUCUUGCACUUGGAUGAUGCAGCUGCAACGAGUGUCAUGAGUUUGCAAUAUUUUACCAUCAUCUAUUGACAUGAAGAAAUAAAAAGAAAGCUUUUAUCUAGCAAGGUGUUAAAGCUAACAAGACUUGCCAAAGGAAAUCAAGCAAGACCUGCCAGAAUGAACAAUACUCGCAGAGCUACAGUAAAAACAAACAGAUAUUUUAUUUUAGCUUUCUUAAUAAGCCAAG